GAAUGCUUCUGCCUUGAGGACUUUGAGGGGGCUUGGAAUUAUGUGUUUAAUGUCAAGGUUGAAGCAGUCCUCAAACAAUGGAAGCAUGAGAUCAAACACUUUACCUAUGACAGAUAUGAAGAGGACUGGUAGAAGUUUUUAAACCUCGAUGACCGAGUUGACGAGGUUCAUUUCACGGCUCUCCUCAUGUAUUGGGACAACGAUGCCGCCAAGAAUAAAUCGAUGAAAGGGUCAGAGAAUAGAAGGAAAAAGCUGCAUGACCACCACUUAGGCGCACACUCCUAUGCCACUCUGGAGGAUGUUUAUUGCCAGGAUACGGGAAAAUAAAAAAUACCGAUACACUUGAAGGUAAAAACGGCGUAUGGUACUUUCCGUGAUAGGUAUAGGGGUGAGGAGAAGAAUCAGGAAAAGAUCAAGGCAAAUCUCGAGUUGGUGGUGAGACUUAUAUAUAUCUUAAGUAGUAUUAUUAACUCUAUUUCGUUGUUAAUAUUACGAGAAAACUAGAACACAAAUAAUAUGGUCUUUACCUUGAAUUAACUAUAUAUUUGUGUUUUAGGCGGGAUUUGAGACUGCAUCCAAGGAGGCUGCAUCAAUGAGGAUGUCGCAGGAGGGGAAACAAGGCGAGCCAAAACCUUCAUAUGCUUUCUACAGAGG